UAAUAAGUGUUUUAUUGGCACUUUUUAAAUCCAUAUCCACCUUGUGUGCAAUGUCAGUCGAUCUUCUUCAUGGAGAUCGACCAAACAUCAACCUUUAUCUUUUAACUCUUUGUCUGAAAAAUAUUAUGAAUAAACAAUUCAAAAUA
rnacentral:misc_RNA from 1 species